rnacentral:rRNA from 1 species
GAUCCUGGCUCAGGAUGAACGCUAGCGGCAGGCCUAACACAUGCAAGUCGAGGGGCAGCGGGAAUUGAGCUUGCUCAAUUUGCCGGCGACCGGCGCACGGGUGCGUAACGCGUAUGUAACCUACCCUGAACUGGGGAAUAACACUGAGAAAUCGGUACUAAUACCCCAUAAUACACUGGAAGGCAUCUUUUGGUGUUGAAAGCUCCGGCGGUUCAAGAUGGACAUGCGUUGUAUUAGCUAGUUGG